ensembl:snRNA U6 U6 spliceosomal RNA
AUGUUCACCUUGGCAGCACAUAGACUAAAAUUGGUACACAAUAUGGAGAAGAUUAGCAUGGUCCCUGCACAAGGAUGACGUGGAAAUUUGUGGUGUUCCAUGUUAAA